AAAGCGUGCGCAGGCGGUUUUGUAAGACUGUCGUGAAAUCCCCGGGCUCAACCUGGGAAUGGCGAUGGUGACUGCAAGGCUAGAGUUUGGCAGAGGGGGAUGGAAUUCCGCGUGUAGCAGUGAAAUGCGUAGAUAUGCGGAGGAACACCGAUGGCGAAGGCAAUCCCCUGGGCCUGCACUGACGCUCAUGCACGAAAGCGUGGGGAGCAAACAGGAUUAGAUACCCUUGU
rnacentral:rRNA from 1 species